GGGGCUGGGCACCCCUUCCUCCUCCCUCCAGGGCAGGCGCCGGGGACGGGAGGGUCUUUCAAAGCUGGGGGAGGCUCCUAGUACGGGGUCAGGUCCGCCUCCUUCCCUCCCCCGUCCUGGAGCAACCUUGGGAUUUUCUACCCCGAGUGAGGCCACGGCUGAAUCACCCUGGGGGCUUUUGGGGGGACAUUCCUGCAGUAGGAAGGCCUACUCCCCGAAGGCCUGUAGGUGGGGGCUCUUCCCAGUGAGGGGCCCCGGGGCUCUGCCCGGAUAACUGGUCUCUGGGGCCCUGGGGCGGGGGAAGGAAAGGGUCUCCUUGGGAUGGGCUCCCCUGUUACCCCUCCCGAAAACAUCUCAACAGCCGUUAAUUCCCACACUGCACCUACUCUGGCUGCCUACGCCCUACGCCCCAGUCCCAAAGCCGUGUGUAAUACAUGUAUGCAUCUGCAUCAUAGGUGUACAAGUGUGUUUCGGCCCAUGUGCUUGCGUGUUGUGUGUUCAUGGCUUGAACAUGCGUAUACAGCUCGCUCUUUUUUACACCCAAGGGAGGCACUUGCAGAGGCCAGACCCAGCAACAUGCACGUGGUUGCGCUGAACGAAAGGAAGCUCAAGGUGCUGAAUGAUCACAGAGCCAGCUGGGUCCACUGAAGAGGAAUCCCCGAGGGCAACUUACGCAUGUUCAUUCCAGCCUUGGCUGAAGCCUAAGAAUCUCAGGCAGCUAGUUCAUCAUGGCUGACUCGGCCCUGCCAUUUCCCACAAGAAGAGCAGGUGAACAGGAUCCUCUGGCUCACAGCCCGUGCUCAGCAGCAAUCCCACGCUACCCUCUUAGGCUUCCAGCUCCCUGUCUGACGCCCAGCAGGCUCGCUCAGAGGGACUCACCACAGGU